CCAACAAACUUGUCUGUGGUGGCCUAGGG
rnacentral:piRNA from 1 species